rnacentral:rRNA from 1 species
AUUGAACGCUGCGGCAGGCUUAAUACAUGCAAGUCGAGCGAGAGGCGGACGGGUGAGUAAUGAUUAGGAAUCUGCCUAUUCGUGGGGGACAAAAUAUCGAAAGGGAUGCUAAUAUCGCAUACUACUAGCUGAGACUAAGUGGGAUUAGCUAGUUGGUGGGGUAAAGGCCUACCAAGGCGACGAUCUGUAGCUGGUCUGAGAGGAUGACCAGCCACACGGGAACGGAGACACGGUCCAGACUCCUACGGGAGGCAGCAGUGGGGAAUAUUGCACAAUGGGCGCAAGCCUGAUACAGCCAUGCCGCGUGUGUGAAGAAGGUCUUCGGGUUGUAAAGCACUGUCAGCGGGGAGGCGUUACCCGCACAAGAAGCAACGGCUAACUCCGUGCCAGCAGCCGCGGUAAUUC